rnacentral:rRNA from 1 species
GAUGAACGCUAGCGGCAGGCCUAAUGCAUGCAAGUCGAACGGUGUCUUCGGACAUAGUGGCGCACGGGUGCGUAACACGUAUGCAACCUACCUUACAUUGGGGGAUAGCCUUUCGAAAGGGAGAUUAAUACCGCAUAAGACAGUAGCUGGGCAUCCAGCAGCUGUUAAAGAUUUAUCGAUGUAAGCUGGGCAUGCGUCCAAUUAGCUAGUUGGUGAGGUAACGGCUCACCAAGGCAAUGAUUGGUAGGGGAACUGAGAGGUCAAUCCCCCACACUGGCACUGCGAUACGGGCCAGACUCCUACGGGAGGCAGCAGUAGGGAAUAUUGGGCAAUGGACGCAAGUCUGACUCAGCCAUGCCGCGUGCAGGAUGAAGGCGUUAUGCGUUGUAAACUGCUUUUAUACAGGAAGAAACGACUCUUGCGAGAGGCAUUGACGGUACUGUAUGAAUAAGCACCGGCUAACUCCGUGCCAGCCGCCGCGGUAAAAC